UGCGCAGGCGGCCUGAUAAGUCAGGGGUGAAAUAUGACGGCUUAACCGUCAAACGGCCCCUGAAACUGCCAGGCUUGAGUCCGGGAGAGGAUGGUGGAAUUCCUGGUGUAGCGGUGAAAUGCGUAAAUAUCAGGAGGAACACCGGUGGCGAAGGCGGCCAUCUGGCCCGGUACUGACGCUCAGGCACGAAAGCUAGGGGAGCGAACAGGAUUAGAUACCCUGGUAGUCC
rnacentral:rRNA from 1 species